GAACCAACAGGGAUUGCCUCAGUAGCGGCGAGUGAAGCGGCAAAAGCUCAAAUUUGAAAUCUGGUACUUUCGGUAUCCGAGUUGUAAUUUGUAGAGGUAACUUUGAACAUGAGUCUUGCAUAAGUUCCUUGGAAAAGGACGUCAUAGAGGGUGAGAAUCCCGUUUAUGGUAGGACCCCCAGUUUGUGUAAAGUGCCUUCGAAGAGUCGAGUUGUUUGGGAAUGCAGCUCUAAGUGGGUGGUAAAUUCCAUCUAAAGCUAAAUAUUUGCGAGAGACCGAUAGCGAACAAGUACAGUGAUGGAAAGAUGAAAAGAACUUUGAAAAGAGAGUGAAAAAGUACGUGAAAUUGUUGAAAGGGAAGGGCUUUAAAUCAGACAUGGUAUUCAGUGAUCAGCUUCCUUUCGGGGUUGUGCACUCGCUGUUUACCGGGCCAACAUCAGUUUAGAGGGUAGGAUAAUAGUAAAAGAACGUAGCUUGUUUACAAGUGUUAUAGCUUUUAUUGAUACUACCACUCUGGACUGAGGACUGCGCAUUUUAUGCUAGGAUGUUGGCGUAAUGGUUUUAAGCCAC
rnacentral:rRNA from 1 species